UACGUAGGGUGCGAGCGUUGUCCGGAAUUAUUGGGCGUAAAGAGCUCGUAGGCGGUGUGUCACGUCGGCCGUGAAAACCUGCAGCUUAACUGUGGGCGUGCGGUCGAUACGGGCAUCACUGGAGUUCGGCAGGGGAGACUGGAAUUCCUGGUGUAGCGGUGAAAUGCGUAGAUAUCAGGAGGAACACCUGCGGUGUAGACGGCUUACUGGACCAUGACUGACGCUGAGGCACGAAAGCGUGGGGAGCAAACAGG
rnacentral:rRNA from 1 species